AAUGAACGCUGGCGGCAGGCCUAACACAUGCAAGUCGAACGGAUCCUUCGGGAUUAGUGGCGGACGGGUGAGUAACGCGUGGGAACAUACCCAAAGGUACGGAAUAGCCUCGGGAAACUGGGAGUGAUACCGUAUGUGCUCGAAAGAGGAAAGAUUUAUCGCCUUUGGAUUGGCCCGCGUUGGAUUAGGUAGUUGGUGGGGUAAUGGCCUACCAAGCCGACGAUCCAUAGCUGGUUUGAGAGGAUGAUCAGCCACACUGGGACUGAGACACGGCGCAGACUCCUACGGGAGGCAGCAGUGGGGAAUCUUAGACAAUGGGGGAAACCCUGAUCUAGCCAUGCCGCGUGAUCGAUGAAGGCCUUAGGGUUGUAAAGAUCUUUCAGGUGGGAAGAUAAUGACUGUACCACCAGAAGAUGCCCCGGCUAACUCCGUGCCAGCCGCCGCAGUAA
rnacentral:rRNA from 1 species